UGACAUGCACCAAGUGGUCCCAUGAU
rnacentral:piRNA from 1 species